AGCGGUAGUCUUCAAUGCCUCGUGCCCUAUAGCACUCACCAUAGCAAAUGGCAAAUUUAUUUAGGUGCUAUACUCAGAGCCUUGCACCCGAUACUGUGCCUGAAAUAUGUCCCCUGUAUUGGCCGUGUCGCACCUAACAACACAACAAAGUCGAGCCUGGUACUGUCUGUGUCGCACUCUCACCGCUCCGACGUAAGUUAUUUUUAUUAUUUGGAUCAACUCGACCCAACCCCUUUUUUUUAACACAAUGAACACCAUUUUAAAACACACUCCCUCUUCCCUUUAGCCACUGCUACACCUUACCAUGAGAUAAGGUAAUUUUUCUAUCUCUUCUCUAUUUGGGGUAGUAUCUUCUUUCCUUAUUUCAUUCCUAAUUUAGUUCUAGCUUAGUUCUUUUUUUUUAUUCUCAUAGUUAUGCUUAACAAUAGAGGAAAAUAGUGAAAAAUGUAUCCUAACCCUUUCUCCACAUACUUGUUCUAUUGCUUGCUGAUAUAAGUACUAGGAACACAACUCCCAAGCCGAUUUGGAAGGGCGAGGUAGUCCCUCACAUUCAACCAUACUCAAACACAAUUUGUGCGUGCUAAAUGUUCGAUGAAUUAUCUCAAAGGUGAUUAAAGUCUCAAUUAGAUUCUGAGUCUCUGGGAUUGAAUCAAUUCAGUGUGAUGAUGACUAUAAUCAUGAGAAUUAAGUGUGGGGAGGAUCAACAGAGCCGAGGUAGUUUUGAAAGCGUUAAGGCCAAUGUCGCUCGUGGCAUGUGCUAAACUAGUUCUUAGAAAAAUGGUUUUUCCUAACCAAGGUGGUGCUAAGGCUAAAGUUAAGGCUCCAGCCAAGACCUUUACUUCAGGACUGUCAGCAAAAAAGUGAAUCUCACACUGAGGCUCUGUCUAGCUUCCAAGGUAAGGGCAAGCAAAAGGCCUCUACUUCAACCCCAGUUGAGCCACAUGAUAAGAAGAAGAUAUCUUUAGGUUCAAAUCUGUGAAAGCUUAUGGCAAGGCUUGGUGCAAGAAGUUUAAGCCUCCUACAUACACAUGAUGCAACUAUCAAUGAACACACCUUCAAAGUGAGUUUAUGUUCGCAUAUGAGAAGCUGUAUAAAAUAAGACUGGGGAUUAGUGUUCAAGAAUCCAUGCGAGGGAAAUGUUAGCUUGAUACGUGAGUUCUACGCAAAUUGGGAUGUUUAUGACGAGGAGAACUGGUGCCCACAUGAGGGACACUUAUUGACAUAUCACCGAUUGCUUUGUGAAAAUUCUUGGAUGCCUCUAAUGUUCCUACUAGAUCGCUAUCUGAGUUCAUAAAGCAUCCUGACUAUCAGGCUAUUAGACACACUUUAUGUGAUGUCAAUUUUGAUGCUUUGUGAAUUCAUGACAAGAAGAGGGCACAUAGUUGUUUCCAUAUGGGAAAGUUCUGAGGCCCGCUUAGAUUUUGUUGAAGUUGGUACGAACGAGGAUUCUGCCAGGUGACCACUACACUAAUAUAUUGAGAGAGCGAGUGUGUUUAGUCUACUUCUUGAUGAUUGCGAAGCCAUCAACGUAGGAUUCUCAGUGUGAUUGGAGAUUAAGUAGACUAGGACUGGAAAGGUUUUCAAAAUAUUCUUUGGCAAUGUGCUUACGGAUCAUUUGCGCUCGGAGGGAGUAGAGGAGGAUCCGAAUUGUGAUAUUAUUUUUGUCAUUGUGGUAAGGCGUACUAUAUUAUUAGGGUCAAAGGGACAUAAAAGGAUGGGCGUGAGCACUUCGACUGCAGCUGAGCGCUAUUUCGAGAUGAUUGUUUGUUUGACAACUUCUAUCGGAUGUUAGAUCUUGAGCUCUAACUUAGUGGUAGAGCAGCUGUUGAGGAUGAAAUGAGUCAGCUACUUGAGUGACGCCCGUUCAAUGUCCAUGAUAUAUAGCUGGUUGGUCUUGUGUCAGGUAUUGUAUUCCUGCCAGAGGAAGACGAGAACACUCUAGAGCCAUCUGUCCACGAGGACAAAGCUGAGAAUAAGAAGGCUACUGUUGAUGAUGAGGGGACCGAUGGAGAUGAGCCUAACCCCUAUGGUGUCUACCCUGAGGAUAAGGAGCAGGAUGCUGCGGUCUACGAGAUUGAUUCAACGGGACAGGAGUUCCCUUUACCACCCUUAUGUAUUUGAUUUUGAUUUUGUUAUGCAUUGGGGACAAUGCACAAUUAAGUGUGGCGUGGGGGAAACCUUUUCUAUUUUUUAUCUUUAUAGUAGUAAUAUUCGAAUUA